rnacentral:rRNA from 1 species
UACGUAGGGUGCAAGCGUUGUCCGGAAUUAUUGGGCGUAAAGAGCUCGUAGGCGGUUUGUCGCGUCUGCUGUGAAAUCCCGAGGCUCAACCUCGGGUCUGCAGUGGGUACGGGCAGACUAGAGUGCGGUAGGGGAGAUUGGAAUUCCUGGUGUAGCGGUGGAAUGCGCAGAUAACAGGAGGAACACCGAUGGCGAAGGCAGAUCUCUGGGCCGCUACUGACGCUGAGGAGCGAAAGGGUGGGGAGCAAACAGG